rnacentral:rRNA from 1 species
CCUACGGGAGGCAGCAGUGAGGAAUAUUGGUCAAUGGACGAGAGUCUGAACCAGCCAAGUAGCGUGAAGGAUGACUGCCCUAUGGGUUGUAAACUUCUUUUAUAUGGGAAUAAAAUGUUCCACGUGUGGGUUUUUGUAUGUACCAUAUGAAUAAGGAUCGGCUAACUCCGUGCCAGCAGCCGCGGUAAUACGGAGGAUCCGAGCGUUAUCCGGAUUUAUUGGGUUUAAAGGGAGCGUAGGUGGGUUGUUAAGUCAGUUGUGAAAGUUUGCGGCUCAACCGUAAAAUUGCAGUUGAAACUGGCAGUCUUGAGUACAGUAGAGGUGGGCGGAAUGCGUGGUGUAGCGGUGAAAUGCUUAGAUAUCACGAAGAACUCCGAUUGCGAAGGCAGCUCACUGGACUGCAACUGACGUUGAGGCCCGAAAGCGUGGGGAGCAAACAGGAUUAGAUACCCGAGUAGUC